rnacentral:rRNA from 1 species
UACGUAGGGUGCAAGCGUUGUCCGGAAUUAUUGGGCGUAAAGAGCGUGUAGGCGGCUUGGUAAGUCCGCUGUGAAAGUCCAGGGCUUAACCCUGGAAAGCCAGUGGAAACUGUCAAGCUAGAGUCCGGAAGAGGUGAGUGGAACUCCUGGUGUAGCGGUGAAAUGCGCAGAUAUCAGGAAGAACACCAAUGGCGAAGGCAGCUCACUGGGACGGUACUGACGCUGAGACGCGAAAGCGUGGGGAGCAAACAGG